CACGUAGGGGGCAAGCGUUGUCCGGAUUUAUUGGGCGUAAAGAGCUCGUAGGCGGCUUAGCAAGUCGGGUGUGAAAACUUCAGGCUCAACCUGGAGCGGCCAUCCGAUACUGCUAUGGCUAGAGUCCGGUAGGGGACCACGGAAUUCCUGGUGUAGCGGUGAAAUGCGCAGAUAUCAGGAGGAACACCGGUGGCGAAGGCGGUGGUCUGGGCCGGAACUGACGCUGAAUAGCGAAAGCGUGGGUAGCGAACAGG
rnacentral:rRNA from 1 species